GGCCGAAAUCCUGGAGAUCCGAACGAUCAGAAUCAUGAUAAUGUCCCGAUUGGGCCCCAGAGGGAUAGUUCGGAGUAGUUGUGGGGAAUCCAGUCAGCGUGCGUGCAUCAGCAUUUCGAGACGACUCGUGUUAGUCGACGUUCGGUGCAGCCCAACUGCUGAUACGUGACCGGAAGAAGAGUUUUGACGAUCAUCUCAGGUGCAUGAUUUUGGGUGGGGGCAAAAAAAAAAAACAAACAAACGAAAAAAAAUAAAAGCAGCGAAACCUGA